GAUGAACGCUGGCGGCGUGCUUAACACAUGCAAGUCGAACGAGAAGUGGAGACGGAAACCUUCGGGCGGAAGACUUUAUUUCGAGUGGCGGACGGGUGAGUAACGCGUAGGUAACCUGCCUCAUACAGGGGGAUAACAGUUGGAAACGACUGUUAAUACCGCAUAAGACCACAGCACCGCAUGGUGCGGGGGUAAAAACUCCGGUGGUAUGAGAUGGACCCGCGUUCGAUUAGCCAGUUGGCGGGGUAACGGCCCACCAAAGCGACGAUCGAUAGCCGAUCUGAGAGGAUGACCGGCCACAUUGGGACUGAGACACGGCCCAAACUCCUACGGGAGGCAGCAGUGGGGAAUAUUGCACAAUGGGGGAAACCCUGAUGCAGCGACGCCGCGUGAGUGAAGAAGUAUUUCGGUAUGUAAAGCUCUAUCAGCAGGGAAGAAAAUGACGGUACCUGAGUAAGAAGCCCCGGCUAACUACGUG
rnacentral:rRNA from 1 species